UGCCUGAUAUGUUUUUUCUUUUCUUUUUCAGACAUGAAGCACUGGAUAAUAUUAAUGGGCAUUUGUGCUUUGAUACAAGUAAUAAAGUCUUCUGAUGUAUGCAGUGAAGGAACAAUUAAACAACUGUGGCAAAAAUGUGACAACACAUAUUUUGUGUCAGACGUUAAAGACAUGGCGUCGAUGAAGAAAAUGUGCAGCAAUGUUGAAUGUUUGGUUCAGUGUAAGAAAAAUGCAGUUGGAGAUUGUGCUAACCAGAAAGCAUUCCGGGAACAUUUGUUUAUGUUUGACCCAGAGAAAUGGAAGGUUUCUUAUAGAUUUAUCUGCUCAAAUAUUGACGUUGCUGUUUAACAAUUCAAUGGUGGGUGUACCGAGAAUGAAAUAUGCUCAGCGAAAAGCAUGCCAAACUACAAUACAUCUGAGAAAGAUUUAAAACUUUUAUGCAGCUCUUUUGAAGACAUACGUAAAUGUGUCAGUAUGAGUCCAAGUCCAGACGGCAAAACCUGUACUGCUAAUGGUGCAAAAUUUCAAGAAGAUAUCCGAAAACUUGGUUAUUCAAUUUCCAUUUGUCAAAACACAGACAUAAAGCAGUUAUAUGCGAAGUACGGUGGGUCUUACAAAUGUGGAAGCAGCUCUGCGACAGCUAAAGUUAAACUAUCCUUCACUGCUUUCAGCCUAGCCACGCUUGCCUGGAUCAAAGCCCGCUUCUAAAUGUGUUAUCUUUCCAAGUUUGUGACAAUAUAUGCAAUGUUUUGUUUACAUAUUUAUUAAAUGUUUUUCUGAUAUUAUGACACGUAGAAAUUCAUGUAUAUUUGUAUUUUUCAUUUCAUGAUAGAUGUGUAUUCCAUUUUGUUUCAUUAUGUAUUUAUAGUGUCUAUAAACUAAGACUUUAAGGUUAUAUCAUUUUACAUAAAAAUAGUUUCUUUUUUGUCUUUAUGUUGACAUUGACAGAAUGUAAUGCAUUGUGUAUCAGUUGAAAAAUGAAAUGAUGAUCGAUAAAAACUCGUGGAAUUUACCGAGAACCAUUAUAUUGAAGACUUUGCUUAUUAACUUUUACGGCUUAGAGCUAAAUCAACAAUAAACUUGACAUCAAGGAACAAAGUCCCCAAAUUCGAACAGGUCUAUAUCAGGAUAGAAUUAUCUUUACAUAAUUUUCCGCAGCUCAUGCUGACUUACAUACAAAUAAAAGUGAACUUGAAUUACCAGAACAUUGUAAUUCGCAAUAAAUCAAAAUUUUCAGAAAUACAGAGCACUAUUUUUCACUCGCGUCGGUUAUGCGUCGGUCAUGGUCGGAUGAUCACUAUGAAUUCAAUUUCCUUAAA